rnacentral:rRNA from 1 species
GUGGGGAAUCUUCCGCAAUGGACGAAAGUCUGACGGAGCAACGCCGCGUGAGUGAUGAAGGUCUUCGGAUUGUAAAGCUCUGUUAAUCGGGACGAAAGAGCCUAGUGUGAAUAAUGCUAGGAAGUGACGGUACCGGAAUAGAAAGCCACGGCUAACUACGUGCCAGCAGCCGCGGUAAUACGUAGGUGGCAAGCGUUGUCCGGAAGUAUUGGGCGUAAAGCGCGCGCAGGCGGAUCUGCCAGUCUGUCUUAAAAGUUCGGGGCUUAACCCCGUGAUGGGAUGGAAACUACAGAUCUAGAGUAUCGGAGAGGAAAGUGGAAUUCCUAGUGUAGCGGUGAAAUGCGUAGAUAUUAGGAAGAACACCAGUGGCGAAGGCGACUUUCUGGACGAAAACUGACGCUGAGGCGCGAAAGCCAGGGGAGCGAACGGGAUUAGAAACCCCGGUAGUCC